UUGGGAUAUGGAGACAUGUAUCCUCAGACUUGGUCAGGUAUGUUAGUGGGCGCAUUGUGUGCUUUGGCUGGUGUGUUAACCAUCGCCAUGCCUGUGCCCGUCAUCGUCAAUAAC
rfam:Danio rerio chromosome 7, GRCz11 reference primary assembly.